rnacentral:rRNA from 1 species
CGGGACGGGUGAGUAACGCGUGGGUAACCUCGCCUCAUACAGGGGGAUAGCAGCUGGAAACGGCUGGUAAUACCGCAUAAGCGCACAGUACCACAUGGUACAGUGUGAAAAACUCCGGUGGUAUGAGAUGGACCCGCGUCUGAUUAGCUGGUUGGCGGGGUAACGGCCCACCAAGGCGACGAUCAGUAGCCGACCUGAGAGGGUGACCGGCCACAUUGGGACUGAGACACGGCCCAG